GACAUGGCGGAAGAGGACUACACUUCCCAGCCACACCCGCACUCGAGUUCGCUGGAGUUCUGAUUACGAACACCUGCAGACAUCUAAAGUUAUAUAAGGGCCUCGUUAGCAUCAGCCGCUUGCGAAGUAACCGCUCAGCAGCCUCGUCUCUGUUGGUUAACCAAGCCUGAUUAUUAUUGGAAGUGUCUUCCCGGUUCUCGAUUUCCACUUGUCUUUUGACUACACUUUUGCCUACGCCCCUGUCAACCUGUUUUACCUGCAUAAUCCCGACUCUCAUCUCGUUCCGUGUUCCACCUGGUGUCCGUCACACGUCAUCUCCUCGCCUGCCCACGUUUGUCUCCGUCAGCGUCACGUAACAAUGCUUGCUUAUGGACACAUUGUAUUAAUUGACCCUCCUGCAACAGCAGAUCCUACCACAGAUGAAAAUGAUUAUUGUCUUCAGGUAUUGUUUCUGUUUGCUAGACCAAACAGCAUUAGUCAUUUGCACUGUAGGAUGAAGAUGAAGAGACCAGCUCUGCUGUAACAGAGAUACAAAAAAAAGAUUCUGGGAGGCCCACAGAGGUAUAACAUAUAAUGUAUUCCCUUUCUGCAAUGUGAUCCCUUUCUCAUUGUUUAUUAUGGCUGGGGAUUCCUGUACAGAGGAGGGUCCAUCUACCUCCACACAGAAUCUUGGAAGUAAAAAAAAAUUGUUUGCAGUUGUCCUGAUUAAAAAUAUUUGGUCUGUGUAUUUAUUACAGACAUUUAUGAUAUCAAUCAUAUUGGAUUAUCAUUCUGUCUUCCUAGCUGCCUGCAAAGAAGCUGUACAAGGUACAUCUUCAAAUGCAAAUGAUAAAAAUUGGCAUGGAGAUGGAACUUCUGCAACUUUAAAUGGAGGGAAAAAGGCUAACAUAAAAAGGACACUAUUCAAAAGUGCACUCCAUGCUCCGUCAGCUCUCUGAAACAAACUAACCUGGAACAUAACCUGCUUCAGAUACCCCACACAAAUUUAUGGAGAUACUAGAGAUCCAGAUCCUUUCUGCCUCUGGAUGGAGCUCAAAUCUUCUCUAAUUCCAGACUGCUGGAACUACGGCUGGCCAUACAGACUUCAUAUAAAUCCAUAAUGAACUUUUUCACACUAACUGUUGUUACCCAGAUGAGGAUGGGUUCCCUUCUGAGUCGGGUUCCUCUCAAGGUUUCUUCCUCUUAAAACACCUUAGGGAGUUUUUCCUUGCCACCGUCGCCACUCAGUGGCUUGCUCAGUUGGGAUAAAUUCACACCUUUAAUAUCUGUAUAC
ensembl:lncRNA